UUACUCCACCAUGACCAGUCUGAAGCGGUCUCAGACGGAGCGUUCGGUGGGCGGCUCGGUACCUGCCUCUGAUGAAUUCUACACCCGUCGCCUGCGUCUCCCCAAUGGUGGCGCCCCCCCACCCCGCUCUGAGAGCGCCCACCUCACCUCCUCUUCCUCGUCCGGCUCCUCUUCCUCCUCCACCCCGGGGGUUCCCAAGAUGGGGGUCAGGGCCCGCGUGGCAGACUGGCCCCCCAAAAGGGACGGAACGGGUGGAGUGUGGCACAUCACCGUAGAUACGGACUCUCCAAGUUCCACCAUGUCAUCUUCAGGUGGAGGAGAAUGCGGGUCGGGCGGGGAACGCGGGUCGGGCGGAGAACGCGGGUCGGGCGGAGAACGCGGGUCGGGCGGAGAACGCGGGUCGGGCGGAGAAAGAGAGCGAGAGCGGAGCUCGGGUUCAGGCUCGGCGCCCACGGCCCAUAGCAACCUCUCGGCUAAACUGGGCCACCUGAUCAGCCCUCAUGACACCUCGAUGCUCCGGAACAUCCACAACACCCUGAAGAGCAAGAUGCACCACAGCAGACAUCACAGCAAAGACAACCGCUACCUGUCGCCAGACGGCUAUCAGGGCUCGCCGCGUAAAGGCAUGAGGCGUAUCCGCCAGCGCUCCAACAGUGACAUCACUAUCUCUGAGCUGGAGGGUGACGGGGGCGAGGGCUGGUCCUUCUCCGGUUGGACGCCCAUGCACCGAGAGUACGGAAGCACCUCCUCCAUAGACAAACAUGCAGGCUCAGGGGAAAGCUUCUUCGAUAUGCUCAAGGGUUAUACAUCCCAGGAGGCUCCAGACCAGCGCAGCCCGGCACCGGACAGACUCAGGGAGCUGCUGACGGUCGCCCCGCACAAACAGGCUGCCUUAGAUCUGCCUGAUGGACCUCUGGGUACUGCCAAAGGUAGCUCCUCCAGUCGCCUGAAGGAAAGAGAGAAACAACUCAAGAGGAGAUCCAAGUCGGAGACGGGCGGGGAGUCCAUCUUCCGGAAGCUUCGUAGCGUCAAGGCCGAGGGCGACUCUUCCCGUGCUGGAUCAGACAUAGAAGACGGGGGCCGGGAGGACGGUAACAGCCCCAAACCCUGGACCUGUCAGAAGGGCUUCGCCCACUUUGACGUGCAGAGUAUCCUCUUUAACCUCAACGAGGCCAUCCAGGGACGACAGUCCGGUGGGAAACCCAAGAACACCACCACAGGAGCUUCUGCUGCCGCCGCCGCCUCGGCCUCUGCCACUUCCUCCCUCUCGUCCAAUCAGAGCGGAGUAUACGGUGGGGGUGGGUCUCCGUGCGGGUCGCAGGAGGAGCUAAGUGGCAAGGAGGGGUGUCCGGGUACAGGAGGGGGACAUGGCACUAACCCUGCCCUGGAUCCUGGGGAUGACAAGAGCAAUGAACUGGUGCUGAACUGUCCCUGUUUCAGGAAUGAACUGGGAGGAGAGGGAGAGAGGAACAUCUGCCCUUCUAAACAGCAGGGUAGUAUAGGCAGUGGAGAGAGCUCUGGGGGGGGAGGUGGCUCAGAGGAGGGGCCCCUGGAGACUCACUUCACCAAUGCCGGGGUGGCCGUGCUGGAGGCCCCUAAAGACGGACAGGGACAACACGCCGACAGGGCCAAACGAUCUGUGGAACACUGUGACCUGGGGGCCUACUACUACAGGAAAUACUUCUAUCUGAGGGAGCAUUGGAACUACCUGGGUGUAGAUGAGACUCUAGGUCCAGUAGCAGUGAGUCUGAGGAGAGAGAAACUAGAGGAACACAAGGAGCAUGGACAACAGUACAACUACAGAGUCAUCUUCAGAACCAGCGAGCUCACCACCCUGCGUGGGUCCAUUCUGGAAGAUGCUGUGCCCUCCACCUCUAAGCACGGCCUGGCUCGGGGUCUACCCCUCAAAGAGGUGCUAGAUUACCUGGUACCAGAGCUGACCGCCCACUGUCUCAGACUGGCUCUCAACACACCUAAAGUCACAGAGCAGCUGAUGAAGCUGGACGAACAGGGGUUGAGUUUCCAGUUGAAGGUGGGGGUGAUGUACUGUGCGUCGGGACAGAGCAGUGAAGAGGAUAUGUAUAACAAUGAUUCGGCAGGUCCUGCUCUGGAGGAGUUCCUUCAGCUGCUGGGGGAGAGGGUCCGACUGAAAGGAUUCACCAAGUACCGAGCCCAGCUGGACACAAAGACUGACUCCACAGGGACCCACUCCCUCUACACCACCUAUAAGGACUAUGAGGUGAUGUUCCACGUGUCCACCAUGCUGCCCUACACACCCAACAACAAACAACAGCUCCUGAGGAAGCGUCACAUAGGAAAUGACAUAGUGACCAUCGUAUUCCAGGAGCCCGGGGCUCAACCCUUCACCCCUAAGAACAUACGCUCUCACUUCCAACACGUGUUCGUAGUGGUGAGAGCACAUCAACCCUGCUCUGACAACACCACUUACAGCGUGGCGGUCGCUCGUUCUCGUGACGUCCCAUCCUUCGGCCCUCCCAUCCCAGAGGGCGUGUCCUUCCCAAAGUCCUCCACAUUCCGGGACUUCCUUUUGGCCAAAGUCAUCAACGCAGAGAACGCCGCCCACAAAUCUCACAAAUUCCGCGCCAUGGCGACACGGACACGUCAGGAGUACCUCAGAGAUCUGGCAGAGCGCAACACCACAUCGACCCCCAUCGACCCGUCCGGGAAAUUCCCCUUCAUCUCAUUGGCUCACAAGAAGAAGGAGAAGAGUCGUCCGUACGCGGGGGCGGAGCUUCGGAGCCUCGGCGCCGUCACGUGGGCGGUCCACGCCGAGGAUCAUGGAGCGGGAGGAGAGCUCGAAGCGCUAUUGGCUAUCUCCAACGACUUCCUCAUCCUAUUGGAUCAGGAGGCCAAGGCCGUGGUGUUUAACUGUGCUACUAAGGACGUGAUUGGCUGGACGCUGGGGAGUCCCGCCUCCAUGAGGAUCUUCUAUGAGAGAGGGGAGAGUGUGUCUCUGAGGUCUGUCAGUAACAACACAGAGGACUUCAGAGAGGUGGUGAAACGACUGGAGUACCUGACUAAGGGUUGUGAGACAUCUGAGAUGACACUACGUCGUAACGGGCUGGGCCAGCUGGGGUUCCAUGUCAACUACGAGGGCAUCGUGGCGGAGGUGGAGUCGUACGGGUACGCCUGGCAGGCCGGGCUGAGGCAGGGCAGCCGAUUGGUCGAAAUCUGCAAGGUUGCCGUGGCGACUCUGACCCACGAGCAGAUGAUCGACCUGCUGAGGACGUCGGUCACCGUCAGGGUGGUCAUCAUACCACCGCACGAAGACGCUACGCCACGCAGAGGUUGCUCUGAGCUCUAUCGUAUCCCAGUGGUUGAGUAUAAGAGCAGUGGUGAGAGUGGUUCGUUUGACUACAAAUUCCCGUUCCGCAGCAAAGACAACAAGUGGCAGAGAACCUCCAGUAGCCCCCAGCAGUCCCUGACGGCCUCCCCCCAGCCACACACCCCCAACCGGGCCAUCAGCCUGGGGAGCUCUGGGGGGAAGACCCUGUCUGCCGAACGCCCAGAGAGAAACGCUGCUAUACCACGCAGUGUUAGUAGUGAUGGACGCCCGCUGGAUACCAAGAGAAUGUCUCCAGGCAGUGAGAACUAUGCUCCGGUCUCCUCUCUGGCACUGGGCCGUUCUCCUCACAACCGAUCUUCCCUGUCCAACCUCUCCUUCUCCAGUGACACCCCGCAGCAUUGGAGGACUCAGAAGUCCAUGCCCGAGGGGUUUGGAGAACACAUACAACACUCCCCUCUGUCUACAGAGCGACAGGUGGUAGGAGAAGGCGGGGCUAGUGACAAGUCCACACCUAAUUGGCCGAGAGUGGAGGAAGGGGGCGGGACCGACAGAGGUUCUACAGAUGCUCCUGUGUCUAAGUCUGGUCCUGGGUACUCCGGAGCACCACGCAUCCAGAGACAGGAGCAGGUCAUGCACCACUCCCCCAAGAAGAGCUCCCAGCCUGAGGGUCCCUACUCCAGCAGUAACACCCUGUCCAGCACGGCCUCGAGCGGGGGCCACAGCGACACCGACAAGUGGUUCGACCUGGGGGGCCCCGGGGGACCAGGGGAGGCCCCUGACUCUGAACCCAAUGGCCUGGGAGGGGGGUACCUCCAGGGGGCCUCAGCCGACAGCGGGAUAGACACCUCAUCCUACGGAGGAGGGGGUGGGGGCCACUCACACCCCCACCAGGAGAGUUCUAGUUCCCUCUUGGCUCCCGGGGGUAGAGAGGGGAGGGAUAGAGCUCCAUCCCCCUGGCAUAGCCCCACUGAGGGGGGCAGGAGGGUCCUGGAGAGGUCCUCCCCGGCCGCAGAGAGCUCACAACCUCCAGGGGAGAGGGGGGAGAGAGGAGAAGGGGCGGCUAGGACUCCUCCUACAUGCCUACUGGUUGGAGAUGGCAGCUCGUACAGUCCGACUGAUGCAGGAUCGCACUCCAGUUCCAGAGGCCACUCCCCUCGUGAGGACUCGUCUUCCUCGGCCACCUCCCCUUGCUCCCAGACGUCGGUCUCUCCCGGCCCCAAGACCUUCUACCCCCGUCAGGGAGCCACCUCCAAGUACCUCAUCGGCUGGAGGAAGCCAGGAUCCACCAUCAACUCUGUCGACUUCGGAGACAACCGCAAGAAGUCUCCAGGGGAGGGAGGAGGAGGAAGUGGAGGCGAGGGGAGUGGCGGCAGCGGAGGACGAGGGGGUCAGGAUGGGGGUAACAGCAGACCCCAUCACGCCCUCCAGCCACACCUCACCCACGCUAAGACCACCGCGGAGGACGACAUGAAGAGACUGAGUCCAGACAGCCCUGCCAAACACAGACGACACAAGGUCAAGGUCAAGUCGUCCUCCUCAGGCCAGCCCCCUACCCGUCGGUCUCUCCACCGCACCCUGUCUGAUGAGAGUAUCUACCGGGGCCAGCGUGUCCCCUCUCUGAGGCUGGGGGACCUAGAACCAGACCCUACCCUGGGUAGUGACGUGCUGUUCAGCUGCUCCACGUUGCCACGUUCUCCCACCACCCGCGGGGUGCCCCUCAGACGACCCUCGUACAAACUGGGGAUCAAACUACACGGGGAUCUGUCUGCGUCUGACACGUCAUUGGCUGAGAUGGUUGAGCGACAGCGCCACCCCCUUCCCCAGGAGCUGAUGCCCCUCCCCCCCUCUGAGAGCAGGGACAGCCCCCUGGACUGGACCCACCUGGUGGAUGUGGCCAAUACCUUCGAAAUCCAGAGAGGGUUUGUGUUCAGUGAUUCUAACCACAGAGGUAGUGGAGCCUCCAGCCCUCACCAGUCACAGCCCAGCCUGGACCUACUACCUGCCCCUCUGUCCAGACCAUCCUCCAGUGAGGGUCCAGCAGGUCUGGAGAGGAAUGUGACCAAGCUGGAAGCCGUGGUCAAGAUGCUACAGGAUGACCUGAAGAAGGAGCGUGAGGAGAAGCAGCGUCUCCAUCUGCAGAUCAAAAGGCUCUGGGAGGAUAACCAGCGGCUGCAGGAGGAGUCCCAGAGCUCUGCUGCCAAACUCAAGAAGUUCACAGAGUGGGUCUUCAACACCAUUGACAUGAACUGAGACAGACAGAGGAGGAGAGGAGGAGGGUUCUACCACAUUGACCAGAAGAGGAGGGGGAGGAAAAGGAGAGAGGAGAAGAGUUAAUGAAAAGAAAGAGGACCAGUCCCAAAAACAUUCCCCUUCUCCCUUGCACAAACGGAAGUACUGAUUCCACUCUCCAUGCCUCUUCCUUGUCCCUGGAAGUUCUUUUUCACUCUCUGAAGUGCCAACUAAGGUUUCCCCUCUCAAAUACCCACUGAAACUCAGGAUUAGCUAGAAGGACAGUCUUCUUCUGUUAAAUAAUGAAGGAUUAAUUUCAUACUGUGGGAUUUGAAGGGGAGAUGUGUGUGUGUAAUUGUGAUGGGCUCUCGGUACUGCCAAGAAAUACUGGAGCUCAGAAGACGAGAGCUCUGUCCUCCUCUCGUCCCUCACUGUCUGAGCUGACUCCGAUAUAAAGAGAGACUUGUGUUUCACCCCAAUAGCCAGCCUCUCAGUGGCUGUACAGUACAUCUCUUCAGCUAAGGCCUCAAAGCACAUAAGAGCACAGAGUAACAGGAAACUGUGGAAUCUCAUCUCAUCUCUUCUCCCUGUCUCCACUCUUCCUCCUCUGCAAAUUUGACUUGUCUGAUGCUACCUCUGUCUACACUACCCCAACAGACAGGCAGAUAGAUGGACGGAGGGAAGAGGCAGACAGACAGGAGGCAGACAGACAGGAGGCAGACAGACAGGAGGCAGACAGACAGGAGGCAGACAGACAGGAGGCAGACAGACAGGAGGCAGACAGACAGGAGGCAGACAGACAGGAGGCAGACAGACAGGAGGCAGACAGACAGGAGGCAGACAGACAGGAGGCAGACAGACAGGAGGCAGACAGACAGGAGGCAGACAGACAGGAGGCAGACAGACAGACAGACAGGAGGCAGGCAGACAGACAGACAGACAGACGGGUAGACAGACGGGUAGACAGACAGACGGGUAGACAGACAGACGGGUAGACAGACAGACGGGUAGACAGACAGACGGGUAGACAGACAGACGGGUAGACAGACAGACAGGCAGACAUACAGAUACACUGACAGGCAGGCAGACAGACAGACAGAUAGCCAGGCAGACAGACGGGUAGAUAGACAGGCAGGCAGACAGACAGACAUAUAGAUACAGAUACACUGACAGGCAGGCAGACAGACAGACAGACAGACAGACAGACAGACAGACAGACAGACAGACAGAGAGAGAAACAGACAGACAGACAGAUACACUGACAGGCAGGCAGACAGGUUGGUAGGCAGACAGACAGACAUACAGAUACAGAUACACUGACAUGCAGGCAGACAGGUUGAUAGGCAGACAGACAGGUAGAUAGAUAGACAGACAGCGGGAGGGAAAAGACAGAAAACCAGCCCUGUGUUGCCAGCUGUUUUUUUCUGUACAUUUAUAUUCCUCAAUCUACAGGGAACACAGAUCUGUGUGUAUUUCUGUAGGAACAAACACUUAGAGAGAAUGGGGGCCCAUCCGUUCCUCACCUGUACAUAUCAACUAGCUAUCUGUGGUUUACUGUAUAGUCUGCAUUCUGACCAUCAAAACAUUGUACCUGUACUGGUUUGGACCGGGGUUUUGAGAGGUACAUGGAGUCACUGUCAUUAGGCCAGGCUACAUCUGAAGGAGAACUGAACAAGAGUCAGUGUUUUUUGGGGGGGUUUUGGUUGACAGACAUUUGUCUAUACCUCUCCCGUAGUGCCCCCUUACUAGUCUGGUUGGCCUGUAGUGUGUCACGAUCAAGCCUAUAUAGCUGGCAUACACAAGGCUACCAUACACACCUCUUACCCCAUAACCAUACACACACUCUUACCCCACACACACACCACUACCCCAUAACCAUACACACACUCUUACCCCACACACACCACUACCCCAUAACCAUACAUACACCACUACCCCAUAACCAUACAUACACCACUACCCCAUAACCAUACACACACUCUUACCCCACAACCAUACACACACUCUUACCCCACACUCUUACCCCACAACCAUACACACACUCUUACCCCACAACCAUACACACACUCUUACCCCACACACACU